GAUGAACGCUGGCGGCGUGCCUAAUACAUGCAAGUCGAACGCUUCACUUCGGUGAAGAGUGGCGAACGGGUGAGUAAUACAUAAGUAACCUGGCAUCUACAGGGGGAUAACUGAUGGAAACGUCAGCUAAGACCGCAUAGGUGUAGAGAUCGCAUGAACUCUAUAUGAAAAGUGCUACGGGACUGGUAGAUGAUGGACUUAUGGCGCAUUAGCUUGUUGGUAGGGUAACGGCCUACCAAGGCGACGAUGCGUAGCCGACCUGAGAGGGUGACCGGCCACACUGGGACUGAGACACGGCCCAGACUCCUACGGGAGGCAGCUGUAGGGAAUUUUCGGCAAUGGGGGAAACCCUGACCGAGCAACGCCGCGUGAAGGAAGAAGUAAUUCGUUAUGUAAACUUCUGUCAUAGAGGAAGAACGGUGGAUAUAGGGAAUGAUAUCCAAGUGACGGUACUCUAUAAGAAAGCCACGGCUAACUACGUG
rnacentral:rRNA from 1 species